rnacentral:rRNA from 1 species
UACGGAGGGGGCUAGCGUUGUUCGGAAUUACUGGGCGUAAAGCGUGCGCAGGCGGUGAUGUAAGACAGGUGUGAAAUCCCCGGGCUUAACCUGGGAACUGCAUUUGUGACUGCAUCGCUGGAGUGCGGCAGAGGGGGAUGGAAUUCCGCGUGUAGCAGUGAAAUGCGUAGAUAUCUGGAGGAACACCGGUGGCGAAGGCGGCGUUCUGGACUGUUUCUGACACUGAAAAACGAAAGCCAGGGGAGCAAACGGG